UUCUUUCCUUUGCUACAAGUCUACAACUUUCUACAUCUUUCUUCAACGACAUGUUUUGUUUCAUCUUUGCCAACUUGUCUUCUUUUUCAUUUGUUUAUUAUUAUUUGUUGGCAACCCAUCUUGAGUGGCGUAGAUUCUUCUGAGAUUCUUUCCUUCGGAGAUUGGAAAUGAUGUGGACAGGGCUCAUGCUGUGGAUCCAGCAAAGAGUGCAUUUCAGGUGAAGGCCAUUGAGGCUGAAGGAAUUUCUCGUACCUUUGUGUUGGCCAAUUUAUUUGCUGUUUACUUCCUUCUCCCUUUGUCACAGCCUGGAGUCAAAUCUCAACCUAAAGAUAAAGUAGUUAUUCUUGGUGAUGGAACCGCAAAGGUUAGAUCCCAUUUUUUUGCAUUUCAGGUGCAGAUGUGCCCACCCUUUAUCAAAUUCCUGGAUCCGCCACUGUAUGUAUUAUGUCAGGAUUGAUUACAAAUAUAUAUAUAUAUGUGUAAGGAUUAGUUGUGAAUAAAGUAUU